CAGUCGCCACGGGAAUACGAAGGGGGCUAGCGUUGUUCGGAAUUACUGGGCGUAAAGCGCACGUAGGCGGAUAUUUAAGUCAGGGGUGAAAUCCCAGAGCUCAACUCUGGAACUGCCUUUGAUACUGGGUAUCUUGAGUAUGGAAGAGGUUAGUGGAAUUGCGAGUGUAGAGGUGAAAUUCGUAGAUAUUCGCAGGAACACCAGUGGCGAAGGCGGCUAACUGGUCCAUAACUGACGCUGAGGUGCGAAAGCGUGGGGAGCAAACAGGAUUAGAUACCCCCGUAGUCCCUGUCUCUUAUAA
rnacentral:rRNA from 1 species